CCUACGGGUGGCAGCAGUGGGGAAUAUUGCACAAUGGGGGAAACCCUGAUGCAGCAACGCCGCGUGAGUGAAGAAGUAUUUCGGUAUGUAAAGCUCUAUUAGCAGGGAAGAAGAUGACGGUACGUGAGUAAGAAGCCCCGGCUAACUACGUGCCAGCAGCCGCGGUAAUACGGAGGGGGCAAGCGUUAUCCGGAUUUACUGGGUGUAAAGGGAGCGUAGACGGUGAGACAAGUCUGAAGUGAAAGCCCCGGGUUCAACCCCGGGACGGCUUUGGAAACUGCCUGACUGGAGUGCUGGAGAGGCAAGCGGAAUUCGUGGUGUAGCGGUGAAAUGCGUAGAUAUUAGGAAGAACACCAGUGGCGAAGGCGGCUUGCUGGACAGUAACUGACGUUGAGGCUCGAAAGCGUGGGUAUCGAACAGGAUUAGAUACCCGGGUAGUC
rnacentral:rRNA from 1 species